GACGAACGCUGGCGGCGUGCUUAACACAUGCAAGUCGAACGGAAAGGCCCUGCUUUUGUGGGGUGCUCGAGUGGCGAACGGGUGAGUAACACGUGAGUAACCUGCCCUUGACUUUGGGAUAACUUCAGGAAACUGGGGCUAAUACCGGAUAGGAGCUCCUGCUGCAUGGUGGGGGUUGGAAAGUUUCGGCGGUUGGGGAUGGACUCGCGGCUUAUCAGCUUGUUGGUGGGGUAGUGGCUCACCAAGGCUUGGACGGGUAGCCGGCCUGAGAGGGUGACCGGGCCCAGAGGCCUACGGGAGGCAGCAGGAGCCAAACGGGCGCAAGGGGCGGGAGAUUGACGCAACAGGGCGGCGGCCGUGAGGAAGAUCGCCGGGUCGGGAAACACGGCCUUUGGGGAGGAACACAUUUGCACGUAACGAGGCGCGUGGGGACGGUACAUGGGCAGAAAGCCACGGCUAACUUCGUG
rnacentral:rRNA from 1 species